UACAGAGGGGGCAAGCGUUGUUCGGAAUUACUGGGCGUAAAGGACGCGUAGGCGGCCUGCUAAGUCGAACGUGAAAUCCCCGGGCUCAACCCGGGAACUGCGUCCGAUACUGGUAGGCUUGAAUUCGGGAGAGGGAUGCGGAAUUCCAGGUGUAGCGGUGAAAUGCGUAGAUAUCUGGAGGAACACCGGUGGCGAAGGCGGCAUCCUGGACCGGCAUUGACGCUGAGGCGCGAAAGCCAGGGGAGCAAAGCGGG
rnacentral:rRNA from 1 species